rnacentral:rRNA from 1 species
AGUGAACGCUGGCGGUAGGCCUAACACAUGCAAGUCGAACGGCAGCACAGUAAGAGCUUGCUCUUACGGGUGGCGAGUGGCGGACGGGUGAGGAAUACAUCGGAAUCUACUUUUUCGUGGGGGAUAACGUAGGGAAACUUACGCUAAUACCGCAUACGACCUACGGGUGAAAGCAGGGGAUCUUCGGACCUUGCGCGAUUGAAUGAGCCGAUGUCGGAUUAGCUAGUUGGCGGGGUAAAGGGCCACCAAGGCGACGAUCCGUAGCUGGUCUGAGAGGAUGAUCAGCCACACUGGAACUGAGACACGGUCCAGACUCCUACGGGAGGCAGCAGCGGGGAAUAUUGGACAAUGGGCGCAAGCCUGAUCCAGCCAUACCGCGUGGGUGAAGAAGGCCUUCGGGUUGUAAAGCCCUUUUGUUGGGAAAGAAAAGCAGCAGGUUAAUACCCCGCUGUUCUGACGGUACCCAAAGAAUAAGCACCGGCUAACUUCGUG